CGUGAUCAAAAUCGCAUCUUUGCACAAGGCAGAGUCGAAAUAAUGUUUUAGGCAAAGUCGUGAUUACUGCUAUAUCAGGUACUCAUGCUUAGGAGGACCGCCACACCCCAAGGAGAUCCUAACAGAAUGUGCACUGCGUGAUUUCAGGAUACACGAGUUACAGCGUCGCUGAGAAUACACUAAGGACUGAUGGUCUGGACGUAUCCUGGAGCCAUAGUCCUUUUCUUGGGAGCUUUGUCCACAGACACUGGUGUAGCCGCAGGGUUUGCAUACAACAACAAGAGAGGCUGAUACCGACCCCGACAACACUUCUCUAUCACGUGCUCAAAUCGAGGGAGUACAGAUCAGCAAAGGAAGAGAUUAUAAUGUUUACUACCACCCCAACACACUUGAUCAUCAGGUAUCAUUUGCUAAACUGUGAAACUUGCUGAUGCAAUCAUCUUUUAACCUGUCUUAAGCAGCCAACAGUGGAAGUGCAGUAGACUAUUGUGAGCAAAUUCAUAUCCGUCUUGAUCCUCAUUACUUUGGGGUUCCCCCUUUUUUAAAACUAAUACUCUGAAUGGUCAUAAAUCCUGAAUAAAAAUAUUCAUGAAACUAUACUUUUAUACAUGUGCACACACACACACACACACACACACACACACA